CCAAGGUCAAAAUUCUGAAUACAGGAUACAGAGGCUCAGAGGAAGAGGAUGGCAUUUGCCAUGUCUGGAUACAGAAUUACAUCUGCUGCAGAGAGUUUGAGGAGGUCCUUCCAGAACCCCGUGUCCCUAGCCUGCCCUGAAUGUGAUUCUCUCAUCAAUGUCAUUGGUGAAAGCCCCAGGGGUCUAGUGACCAGAGGGGAAAUGAAAGUAAGGUCAGUAUCUGCCUAACCCAAUACCCUGAUGCGGCCCCAAGAAGCAACAAGGAUCCUCUUUCUACAUUUUUGUUGUUUCCCUCCCCACAUUGAUUCUGCCCACUGAUGCUUUAUACUCAGAGGUUAAUUUUCAAUCUUCACUCGACCACUCGUGAGCUA
rnacentral:lncRNA from 1 species